GAUGAAGAACGCAGUGAAAUGCGAUAAGUAAUGUGAAUUGCAGAAUUCAGUGAAUCAUCGAAUCUUUGAACGCACAUUGCGCCCGCUAGUAUUCUGGCGGACAUGCCUGUCCGAGCGUCAUUUCAACCCUCAAGCCCCCGGGCUUGGUGUUGGGGAUCGGCGAGCCUCCGCGCCCGCCGUCCCCUAAAUCUAGUGGCGGUCUCGCUGUAGCUUCCUCUGCGUAGUAGCACACCUCGCACUGGGAAACAGCGCGGCCACGCCGUUAAACCCCCAACUUCUGAACGUUUGACCUCGGAUCAGGUAGGAAUACCCGCUGAACUUAAGCAUAUCAAUAAGCGGAGGA
rnacentral:misc_RNA from 1 species